UCUGACGACCAUAGCGAAGUGGUCCCACGCCUUCCCAUCCCGAACAGGACCGUGAAACGCUUCAGCGCCGAUGAUAGUGCGGAUUGCCCGUGUGAAAGUAGGUCAUCGUCAGACUCUUAUUCGAAGGGAUAUUCGGCAGCGCCGGAUACCCGGUAGGGCGUAGUCCCUACUUCAGCGAAGGCUAACCUGCAUGGCAGGUUAUGCCGCAGCUAAAGUAGGUCAUCGUCAGACUCCUACAACAAAAGCCCCCCAGGAAAUCCCUGGGGGGCUUUUUAUUUGU
rnacentral:rRNA from 1 species